GAAUUAAAAAAAAAUACAUACAAUCAACAAGAAAAACUUAACAAACCUAAGCAAAACAAAUAAAAUAAACUGGAAACAAAAAAUCUAUGCCAGCAAAACAAAAAAAGGAACAACAAAAACGAAAGUGCAAGACGAGCCACUAAUGCUUGGAACAUCCAGGAAGAACAUGCCAACUCCCCCGCUAUCAGACCUACAAUCUCAACAAACUUUCAUACAAUUAUUUGAAAAUCGAUUUGUAAAAUUCUAAUUUUUUACAUUACUUUAAAUCUAUUUAAAAUUCUGGCAACAUGCAUUUACUUAACAUAUUACACAGCUGUUUUUGACGUUUAUAAUUUUGUAGAACUACCAUUAAAACGCAAUGUGGCAACUUUAUUUAAUCAUAUUUUAAUGAUAUGGCAAUAACAUACUACAUAUGUAUUUGCAAAACCAAUCGUAAACAGAAAACAAAACUGAUUUAAUUCAUUUUUUUCUUGCUUUACACACGGAAAUAAUAAAUCUAAUCUAAUAAAUAAUUAAGACAUUGUUCAGACGGUCGCGUGAUAAAGAAAUUGUGUGCUGCAUUAAAGCAAAAAAUGCUGUAUAAACAAAGCAACAAAAUUGCAAAAAAAGUGAAAGAAGAAAGUUAAAUGAAAUAAUUUAGUAAUUAUUUAUGAAAAAACUGUAAUCAAGUCUAUGCAAUAUGAAAAAUAAGAAAAUAAUAUAAUGCACAAGAAAAUAAUUUGAAGGUCGCUUUUUAGUUUGUGUUUUUUGUGUUCUUUGCUUGUAAAUAAAACUACUCUCUUUUACCCAGACUUUAUUGUUGUUGUUGCGGUUCUCUUCAUACAUACUGCAAUAAGAAAAGUACUUGAUUUAUUGUUGUUAUUAUUAUAUUAUUAUUAUUGCAAAGAAGGUUUUGGGCGAUGGUGGUGGUGGUAAGUAAGAAAUAAACAAAUGCAAUAAGAAUUUAAUAAAUAAUUACAAAAUUGUACAAUAAUUGUGUUUUUGGAGCAAAUUAAGUGUUCUAAUCCAGCUGAUUUUUAGAGUUUUUUUUUUACUACCUUGUAGCAUUUUACGUUCUGAGUGCAGUGAUGGAAAAAAAAUUAUCCGCUCUAUUAGGGUCCGGGAGUUACGGGCCUCCAAAGUUUUGAUAUAUAAUUGCAUAUAUCUUGAUCAAUGAUAAACGGAUAUGGUCGAUAUGGGUAUCAUUGGAAAG